CAUCCUUCCUGACCAGUCCAGGUGGCUGUGCUGCUGCAGGCUCCUCCCUGGUCUCGCACACUUUGACUUCCUUACUCAGGAGGCAUUGUGAAGUCUCCCCCCAAUGCCACUCCACCUCCUCUGGGAUUCUCUGCCACUCAAG
rnacentral:lncRNA from 1 species